CUUACCUGUUAAUUCCUGGACCUGGGUUCACUCAUAGACGGAACAAUCCGGGACUCACUGCGCAGAAGCCGAUGAUCUCCUGGACAAAAGGCCAGUGGCGCGAGACGAAAGGAGGUCCACGCAGUAGAAGUCCAGGAUUGUAGCGUAGAAGGUUUGGUAAAAGUUUACCGUCUCAAAUCUCUGCGCUAGCUUCCAUGCGAUGAGGUUCCCGGCCGCCAAUGCACCAGAAAUGUUGCAGUGUAAGCAUGCAGAAGCCAAACACAGAAAUAUUGGACACAGGUCUUCAGGAAGUAACAGGCCUUUAUUCACAUUACCGAUCGGGUCUCAGAUGAACUCCUGUUCCAACAUUCUGAGAGACCAACACAUAGUGUACAUUCCUUAUAUAGCACUAUAACUCCUCC